ACCCAGAAAAUCUAAAAAGAAAUUGUUAGCGACCCUUACCAUUUGAGUCACGAAAAGCUUAUAAAUAGACCCACAUCUCCCAUGCUAUGAUCAUCAGCAACACCAAAAACACUUUCUUGAAGUAGUGUCUAUAAAUUUCUCUUCUGCUAUCACUUUUUACUCUAUUAAUUAAUCAUGUCUGAGGAAAAGCACCACCACCACGGCCUCUUCCACCACCACAAGGAGCAUGAGAAGCCUGAGGGUGCCACCGGUUACUCCGACUCGACCACCGGAUACUCUGAUCAGUCAGCCACUGCUUACUCUGAGACUACAGGUUAUCCGGGAGACCGGUGCCGGCCAUCGGAGACGGAGAGCGGUGACUAUGGCAGGAAAGAGGAGGAGGUUGAUUACAAGAAGGAGGAGAAGCACCACAAGCAUCUCGAGCACCUCGGAGAGCUCGGAACUGCUGGAGCUGGUGCUUUUGCCCUGGUAAAGUGAUUCUUCAUCAAGUGCUUUUUUUAUUUUGUGAUAGUGUAUAGUUUCAUUUCUCAUGCAUACAUAUACAAAGUACCACGCAUGUAACUAGGCUUUUUGCAUGGAUUGGAGGAAAAAAAAAGAAAGAAUCCCAUUAUUUUCUUUAAUUUUAUCUCUAUGUUGACACUCAAUUAUUUAUUUAUUUUUGGGGGGUGGGGGGGUGUUGAUACGAUAUUGUAAAUGGAUCAGCUUGAGAAGCACAAGGCAGAAAAGGACCCAGAGCAUGCACACAGGCACAAGAUAGAGGAGGAGAUAGCCGCGGCAGCAGCCGUUGGAUCGGGAGGAUUUGCGUUCCACGAGCACCAUGAGAAGAAAGAAGCCAAGGAAGAAGACGAGGAAGCUCAUGGAAAGAAGCACCACCAUCUCUUUUAAUUAAUUAUGUGAUGCGUGCGCUACCUUUUUUAGUUUAUUAUAAUUAUGUGUUAAUAUUUUCUGUAUUUUAUUUGUUUUUGUUCGUUAAUUAUCAUUGAGCACAGAGGUAGCUAUCUGCAGCCCUAAAUAAUACCCUUGUGUGUUUGUGUGUAUGGGUGAGUCUGGUGACUUUUGUAAACAGACCGGAGUUAUCUGGUUAUGUUGUCAUCUUCCAUUUAUAUAUAUGUUGAUAAUAAAAAUUAGUUUUAAUUGUGUGUUUAUUAUUUAUAAGAUUUGACCUCAUGAUCUGAUGUUUUCUCCAAUCUCAGCUGUUGCUUUAGAAGUUGGGAUCAUCUGUUAAUUAUUAUUGUUUUUUAAAUGAAGUGAGCUGACAACCAUUGGGCUAAAGACUAAUAAUUCAACAUCAUAAAUAAACAACUCUCUUUGCCGUGAUGUAAUUUUAUUUGCCAAUGGGAUAAAGUAAAUUUAUGUGAAAUAACAUUUAUUCUAUGGACCCCCAGGCCAACUUUAGGGGAACAUUUUCCUAGAAUUGGCCUGGGGAGCAGCUGCGUGGUGGCAGCGCAGCUGCCCCAAACGGAUUUAUAUAUUUAUUAAAUUUGUUAAAGGAAUAUAUAAAGUUUAAAUUAACCUACAACUUUUCUUAAGAUUCAAAUCCUUGGGGCUUUAUCAAAUAAGAUUUGAUAUUAUAUCUGAAAAUAUAAUUGUGAAACCAAUGAUUAUAAGUUGAACUUAAUGUACAACUAAUCUUGAUAUUACCAAGUUGAUUUAUGGACUUUUGCUCGAGAAUGUUGUAUGACUCGUGACAAGUUGGACUGAAAAGCCCAUCGAGUAAUGGAAUGUUAGGUGUAUUUUCUCAAGAAGCAGCACUAAAUAAUCACCCGCUGACAGUCAAAUAAAGCUCACCAAUUAAUUGGACAACAACAAUUAUCUACAUCCAUUAAAGUGAAGCAAAGUAAAGAAAGGUCUAUGCAGGCUUCACAAGCACAAAUUAAUCAAGUAGUUGCACAAGCACAACCUGAACAAGCACCAGGUAAUAUUUAACCUCUAUGUUAAUUCCUUAUUUUUAUGUCCAUGAAUAAUAACUAAAUUAAUACUUUUUAGGAAUAUAUGGACCUCAAAGUACAAUUGGACAACAACAACAACCUGCAUAUAUUAUAGCGAGGCAAAGGAGGGCUAGACCAUUGCAUGAUCAAGGAACUAGUAACAACAACAAUAAUGGAGUUAUUAAUACCGAGCCUGUUCUAAAAAAAGUCAGAAAAGAGAGCAAAGAUAGGUUGAAUGCAACUCAACCAUCAGCUUCUAUGCCUGAUGGCUUUGGUGGUUGCAUGUAGUAUCUUGUAAAAUAUGAUAUCUAAUUAGUUUUGUUAACUAUUGUAGCAGGGGGUAAAGGUGGCUUCAUUCAUUGGGUAUGUGGCAAUAAAAUUCAUACCCAUUUGAAUAUUGUGUUUACUUUUGGUUAACUAUGAUGGAAUCUUCUUAUAUUAUGAUUACAUUUAGCUUAUAUGGCAUUGAUGCGUCAAACGAUUACUCCCUGAUUUUGAUUAUAACGAAGAUAUAUAAUUUUUUUUUUUUGGCAAUGCCGUAAGAUUUUGUUGGAUUGUUUUUGUAAGAAAUGAUUGGGUAUUUAUUUUUUUUGCAAGAUUAUAAUUGCGGAGACAUAAAUGGUUGAAAGGAUAGAAUAUUCGGGAAUGUUUGUGCAAGGAAUGUGGUUUGACAGAAGUGACGCAAAUUAGGCUUAUUGCAUUUGUGUUUUACGGGUAUGUAUAGCUUGAUUCAUGAAAUUAGAAAAUAAACGUUAGUCUUCCUAUUAAUAUUCAUUUUUUCAAUCCAUAUAUUAAUGGCAAUUAAGUCUUUUUGACUCUAAAAGUAAGGGCACUUUUAAAAUUUCACUUUGUUAUAUAUCAAUUAAAACAUGUGGGUAAUUGUGUGAUUUUAUCCACUAGAGCUAAGAAAAUUGGCGCCAAUCUCCUGUCAUUUGGAUACUAGGGGCAAAUAGGUAAAAGUAUUUAAAAAUUGAGCAACUUCUGUUAUUGUUAUAACAGCAGGGAGGAAAUUGGUCAUUAUGAAAAUAGUAAAGGAAGAAUUGGUAUAUAAUGAUUUUAAUAAGGGGGAAAUUAGCAAUCUCCCUUAUAACCACCGAAACAUCAACUGCCAUUGGAUUGGGACCCAUUUAACCACCGGCCAUAAAACAGUUUGGACGAAACUUAAUCCUGAAAAACUUAUGGACCUCCCUUUUCACUUGUUUUUAAAAAAAAAUUAAAGAAAAAUUACGUGUCAAAAAGGAAAAAAAAUUACACUGACGAAUCCCUUAUUGUCAUGCCAAAUUAUCACACUUAAAGUAAAGAAUUUAAGCAAAAGUCUUAAACCAUUAUAAAUGUGAACGUAUGGCUGAUUUAUGAUAUGAUGGGUCCAUCUAUUAAAUAUCUUGUUUUCUUUAGUGUGGAUGUUUUUAUUUUAUUUUAUAAAAGUAUGAAUUUAAUAUUUUAUAAUAUUAUAAAAACUAUAUAAUAUUAUAAAAUAUUUUAUAAAGUGCAAAGUUCAACACUUGAGAAAGAUUUCUUAAGGUUAAAGUUUAUCAUUACAAAGAGUGAAAAAAAAGAAGAAGAGGAAAAUAUCCAAUUGUAACUACAACCGUCAUGUUUUUACAUUGCAUUUCUUACAAUUUUCCAUUAAAUAUUUCUCAAAUUCUUUAGAGAAUUAAAAUAGAAUUGUUAUAAAAUUAAAUUCUCUCAUGAUCUAAAUUUGUCUCGUGUAAAAUUUAGUUGGAAAUUAGUGGUUAAUUAAAAAAAGUUAAAUCAAAAUCAUACAUAGCAUUAAAAAAAAAACAUAAAACACAAGACAUUUAAAAAUUCGAGAGAGUUCAUGUUAAGAAAGGGUCUUAAUUCAAUAAUGCAUAUGAUAUGAAAUGCAAAGUUUGGUGGGUCUAUUAAAACUAUAAUUAUUUUUAUCCAUUAAACUGCUAUUUCCUAUUUUAUGGAUAAUUCUUUUGAGCCACUGUUGAAGUAUUUGCAAUUUGUGACUAAAUUGUCUGAGCAUGAAGUCUCGUUGGUGAAACCAACCAUGUCGACAUAUAACGAAAAUAAAUCAAAAUCCGGAAACAAUAUUAAUGUAACAAUGAACCAACAGUAGACCAAUCGCAUUAUUAUUAUUAUUUGAGUACGUAAAUUGAUUUUUUUAGAGUAAAAAGAAAAAAAAGAUUUUUUUCUCCGUGAAUUUGACUUUUUCUUGUGGUACCGAACCAACCAUAGAGUUAUUACCUCUAAAAUUUUCUGAAGGUUAAGAAUUUUUUUUUUAAAACAAUUAAAAACAUCCCCAGAAAGAGACUCGAGUACACGUGUCAAAAAAUUGAAGUUUCUAACGGAGUUAAGAAAUAAGAAUAUGUUAAAAUAAGCAAAUUAAUGCAUACAUGUCAAAAAAUCUUCCAAAUAUUAAUUAAGUAAAUUCAGAUUAGUACAAUUUUAUUGAUUAGUUGGAUGUCACCCAGAAAAUCUAAAAAGAAAUUGUUAGCGACCCUUACCAUUUGAGUCACGAAAAGCUUAUAAAUAGACCCACAUCUCCCAUGCUAUGAUCAUCAGCAACACCAAAAACACUUUCUUGAAGUAGUGUCUAUAAAUUUCUCUUCUGCUAUCACUUUUUACUCUAUUAAUUAAUCAUGUCUGAGGAAAAGCACCACCACCACGGCCUCUUCCACCACCACAAGGAGCAUGAGAAGCCUGAGGGUGCCACCGGUUACUCCGACUCGACCACCGGAUACUCUGAUCAGUCAGCCACUGCUUACUCUGAGACUACAGGUUAUCCGGGAGACCGGUGCCGGCCAUCGGAGACGGAGAGCGGUGACUAUGGCAGGAAAGAGGAGGAGGUUGAUUACAAGAAGGAGGAGAAGCACCACAAGCAUCUUGAGCAC
rnacentral:lncRNA from 1 species